AAGACCUUGCGCUUUUGGAGCGGCCGAUGCCUGAUUAGCUUGUUGGUAAGGUAAAAGCUUACCAAGGCUUCGAUCAGUAGCUGGUCUGAGAGGACGGCCAGCCACACUGGGACUGAGACACGGCCCAGACUCCUACGGGAGGCAGCAGUGGGGAAUUUUGGACAAUGGGCGCAAGCCUGAUCCAGCCAUGCCGCGUGAGUGAAGAAGGCCUUCGGGUUGUAAAGCUCUUUCAGCCGGGAAGAAAAGGCUACGACGAAUAAUCGUAGCUCAUGACGGUACCGGAAGAAGAAGCACCGGCUAACUACGUGCCAGCAGCCGCGGUAAUACGUAGGGUGCGAGCGUUAAUCGGAAUUACUGGGCGUAAAGGGUGCGCAGGCGGCUUUGUAAGUCAGAUGUGAAAUCCCCGGGCUUAACCUGGGAACU
rnacentral:rRNA from 1 species